rnacentral:piRNA from 1 species
UGAGAAUCAAAGAUGGGACCUUG